rnacentral:tRNA from 1 species
GAGGGUAUAGCUCAGUGGCAGAGCACAUGUUUAGCAUGCACAAGGUCCUGAGUUCAACCCCCAGUACCUCCA